CCAUUUGAACUAGAUCCGGACAAAUUUAAACGACAAACAUUGAACUUUUUCUUACGCAACCGGUCAAAAUAGGGUGCCCAUGAGAGUCAAGAUCUCCGGCCAGGAUUUGGAAGCCAUCCGAUCUCAAAAUCAGCCAUACUUCAUCUUGUUUUAUUUUUUUUUCUUUACUAAAAAAUCGCAACUGGUCAGAUACACACCAGGAAAUCUGAAGAUAUUCCCACAAAAGGGACAUCCUCUACUCCAGCUAGUCGAACUACAUGUGACCUGAUUCCCAGAGACCAGGGAUAUGUAGGUGGGCUCAAGACCAGAGAGUCGGUUACACUCUAGCACUUGUUUGUCCAAAGAAACCCCGGUCAUAACAUUGGUUUCUCGGACUUUCCUACUGAAUUACUUAAAAGUCCUUUGUUGAGUCAAACUACAAAUGGCUUGAAUACUCGUAUAGCUCGAGAUAUGUAGGAAACCCAAAACCCAGGGUCCUACCACAUAUGUGAAAAUUGCAUGAAAAUGAAAGGUAGAAUGAGUCGGGUCAGAAAAAAAUUAGGGUUAGUCAAAUUUUGUUGCUCAGGGAUGGUCCCGCCAUCCCCGAACACCGAAGGAGCAGUUGCUAAAACAUAAUUUUUGACCUCCCAGAACUUAUUUUAAUUACUCAGAGUCCUUGGAUGACAGAUAAAAUUAGACAUGCGUCUUAAAGGGUUUAAAUGAUUUUGUAAGAAAUUGUUUAGGUCAAUAUUUUACUUUUUUAAAUUGAUAAAGUGAUUUUUAUGACAUUAUACAUUAUUCAGGAAUUAAUUGGUAUUUUUUUAGAAUUAAUCAAAGGCAAAACAAUUUUGAAUAAUUAUCUACAUUUAAUUGUUAGAUUGUCAAAAAGUCAAAUUAACAAAUGAUUUAUUCCCUUUUAAUCCAAGAAUUUGACUAAUUAAGAGAAUUGAUCAUUUUGCCCCUCAAUCUCUAAUUUUGUGUGUUUGCAUAAUUUGUUGAAAUUAAUAAAUUGUUUUUAGUACUUAAUUGGGUUAAUUAAUCAAUUAGAGGGUCGUUAUUGCAAAUUGGUUUUAAUUAUUUAAUUGUUCACAUUAUGGCCACUGUUGAACCAAUCAAUUCAUGAUUGAGGCAAUUGGAGUCAUUUUUACAAAUUUGGCUUCCUAGUGACUUUAAUUAAAAUGACCAAAUCUAUUGGUUCAAAUUAAUUAAGGCUAUUAGUGUAAUUUAAUCUUAAUUGGUUGAUUAGGUUAAGUAAAGUUAUAAAUUUUAGCAGUCAAUUUGGAUUUGAAACCCAUUAAGAAUGUAUUUGCAAAUUGAACCUUUUAGCUGUGUUUUAAAUUAAUGACGUCACAAUUUGAUUAUAACUAAUUACUACGAUUAAUAAUUGGUUGUUUAAAUGUUUGUCCGUUUUAUUAAAAUACCCGUCCUACCCUUACAUACGUAGAUACGUCUAGUAUACGCGAGUAUAUAUAGGUAAUAUACAAAAGGUCCCUUUCCCUCUUCUUUUAAUUUUGGACCAGGUCCAACCCAAAACGGAACGACCCGGCCCAAAAUAAUCAAAUCAAUCGGGGAAAAACCCCUCCUCACGUUCAUUUCACACCAAACACCCAUUUCCCCCUACCCCCCUCUCUCUUUCCUCUUCCAUCACAAACCGUUGGCGCCGCCUAUAUUCUCUCCCUCUCUCAUAGCCAAAAAUGGCAAAUGUUGCAGGUCUCAGACCUCAGCCAGCUUUUACGCUUUCAAAGGCAUACAACAAUUAAUGCUUCAAUGUUUUUCACUCUCCAAACACUGUAUUAGUUCCUUUCCUUUUUGUUUUCCUUUAAUUUUCAAGUCAAGCAAAGAGAUUUUCUGCAUCUUGUUGUCAUAUUAUUGAUAGUAUGAAUUUGUUUUCAUCGGUUCGACAAGGAUUGGCUCGAAUCAACUCAUAGUGGAUCAGAUCUGACCGUAUAUGCUUGUUAUCUUUAAAUCCUAAGCGUUAAUUUCCUAUAUUGAGUGUUUGCUCUUGAGAAAUUUUGUUGUCCCACAUCAGUUGUUGAAGUCUUUGAAUGCAACUUUGGGGUUCUAUAAAUAGAACCCCAACCCUUACGAGAAAAACAAGUUUGAAACCCUCAUAGCUUGAAUUUUGAAUAAAUAACUCGAAAAUUUGAGCUCUCAGUUUUAAAAUUUUCAAGACUUAACUGUAAAAGAAGAUUCUUACUAGUCCAAAUAUUUAUUUACUUGUUUUUUCUUCCUUGUGGUACGAGUCUUGAGAUUGGAAGCACAAGGUUUCCAAAUUCAUUCUUGAUAGAGGUUGCACAUCAAAAAGAUGUGUUGCAGGUCAAUACUUGAAGUCUCUCUCUCUUAGUGCAUUACCGGACAUCUUUCUAUAGCCUUGCUCCUCUCAUUUCAGGCAGAGGCUAUGUCGUUUAUUUUAUUAUCCUUGUGUAAUAGGAGCUUUGUAUCUGUAUAGACUAGAUCUCGGGAAUUUCAGUUUUCUUGUAACAAUAACAGAGUCAUUAUGAGUAUUUACUUGCAAAUUGUGAUCAUUAAGUAUUUUGUUGUUAAUAAAACUAUUGAAUAUUGGGGUGA